CACCAGCGCCUCGAGUGGGGAUCGCGAUUAUUGGGUCUAAAGCGUCCGUAGCAGGCUUUGUAAAUGCUUUGUGAAAUCGGCAGGCUUAACCUGUCGGCGCGCAGAGUAGACUGCAGAGCUCGAGACCGGGAGAGGUUAGCAGUAUUCCUAGGGUACCGGUAAAAUGGGUUAAUCCUAGGAGGACUACCAAUGGCGAAGGCAGCUAACCAGAACGGUUCUGACUGUGAGGGACGAAAGCUAGGGGAGCAAAACGG
rnacentral:rRNA from 1 species